UAGAGAGAGAAAUUUCAUUUUUUUCUCUCUCUACAAUUUGUCCUCCUUUUGCCAAAAUCCACCAACACCUUGUCUCUACAAUUUGAUUUGGACCCUCAGCAAGAGUUUUUCCUUCCUUAUUCUUUAGUGCAUGUUUUUGUGGCAAUGUUGAGAGCUUAAAGACAACACUCAUUUUGCUCAAUUUGGGGUUGAAACCACAAAGGAAAUACAAAGUUUAAAUCUUUGUAUGGUUGACAAUCUCAAACUCAUCCCUAGAGGCUAUCUUCGACAAUAUUCUUCCCCACAAUAAUCUUGAUGUGAAACCAACAUCAUCUAUGCAAAUUGGGAGUGUAGAGAAUGACAGACACACCUAGAUUUGGCAAUCAACAAACACAUAUGUGGAAGAUUUACGUAGAGGUGAAGAAGAAUAAACUAGAAAAGACUCAUUUAUGGUAGGUGGAGUUUAAAGUGUG